GAUGAACGCUAGCGGCAGGCCUAAUACAUGCAAGUCGAACGAUACCAGAGAGCUUGCUUUCUGGGAAAGUGGCGCACGGGUGCGUAACGCGUAUGCAACCUACCUUAAUCAGGGGGAUAGCCUCUCGAAAGAGAGAUUAACACCGCAUAAAAUCACACUUCGGCAUCGAAGAAUGAUCAAAUAUUUAUAGGAUUAAGAUGGGCAUGCGUGAUAUUAGCUAGUUGGUGAGGUAACGGCUCACCAAGGCUACGAUGUCUAGGGGAUCUGAGAGGAUGCCCCCCCACACUGGUACUGGGACACGGACCAGACUCCUACGGGAGGCAGUAGUAAGGAAUAUUGGUCAAUGGAGGCAACUCUGAACCAGCCAUGGCGCGUGCAGGAAGACGGCCCUAUGGGUUGUAAACUGCUUUUAGACGGGAAUAAACCUCUCUACGUGUAGAGAGUUGAAUGUACUGUAAGAAUAAGGAUCGGCUAACUCCGUGCCAGCAGCCGCUGUAAGAC
rnacentral:rRNA from 1 species